rnacentral:rRNA from 1 species
AUACGUAGGGGACGAGCGUUGUCCGGAAUCAUUGGGCGUAAAGGGCGCGCAGGCGGCGAGGCAAGUCCGGUGUGAAAGUGCUCGGCUCAACCGAGUGAUGCGCUGGAAACUGCCCUGCUUGAGUACAGGAGGGGACGUCGGAAUUCCAGGUGUAGGGGUGAAAUCUGUAGAUAUCUGGAAGAACACCGGUGGCGAAGGCGGACGUCUGGCCAUGUACUGACGCUGAGGCGCGAAGGUGCGGGGAGCGAACAGGUUUAGAUACCCUGGUAGUCCGCACAGUAAACGAUGUGCACCAGGUGGCGGGGGGUAGCCCUCGGUACCGAAGCCAACGCAUUAAGUGCACCGCCUGGGGAGUAUGCUCGCAAGGGUGAAACUCAAAUGAAUUGACGGGG